rnacentral:lncRNA from 1 species
ACCGCAGGACACACCUUCAUUUGGCCUUCUCCACACUCAGAAACCGAGCUCUGUAUGCAGCAGAAAACAGCUCAGCUCUCUCCACAUUGCAUGGACGCAGGUUUUUAGCAGAUGACCUGGGGAGGCAGACAAGGGGUGACCACUGAAGGUCCAUCCAGUCUGGGAGGGGCAAUCCAAGGGCGGAUUGAAAUGAGAGCUUGAGUAGGAGGAGAUGGGAUUCAUACUUUCUCACCCUUUGUGCCAGCUCAGAGUGUCAGGAAAGCAAAUGGGAAAGAGAGGAUCCCACUCAGCAAAGGGCCAGGAGAAAGAACCAAAAGGUAAAAUGUAAGUUAAGAGGACAAGAAUCCAAAAGGUUGCUGGUGAGACCAGGAAGGGGGUCAUGACAAUGACAUAUGCCGCCGGAAAGUAAAUACCCACUUCACGUCUGGUGAAGGCAGCCUAGGCCGCGUAGAAAACUGAACCGAGGAUGGAGAGAAAAGUCGGGUGUUCAGGAUGAGUGGGAGGAGAAAGGAGAUAAAAAGGAAGAUAAGAUGCCCCAGAAAUAACACUGACUACUUAAACGCCAGGAAUUCUUGAGGAGGUAUUUCAGCCAGAAAGGCUGAAAAAAAAGAGUUUUGAUUUAAAAUAAUUUACCAAAGUGUUAGAGCUCAAAAAACACCUCAGUGGAGGAAAAGGAUUCAUUCACCACGAUCCAACCUAAAUUGAUGUGCGCCCCCAUCAAAAUACGUUCUGACAACUCCUAAAUCAUAUAAAUGGGGGGAAAGGGUGUAUAAGCAUUUAGGUGGAGGCAAAGAAGGAAAGGCAAAGAAGGAAAGAUAAAGAAGUCAUCUACAACAGAACAAAAAUUAAAGCAGCUUCAGAUAUCCCUUCCAUAACACUGAAACUACUGUCUUGCCUAAAUUUAACCUGGGGGAAAAAUGAUUAUUAAAAGAAACCAAAUCAUCAAGAGAUUGCUCCAAAAAAUUAAAUUUUGUGACCUAAGAAGACUGGUAGUGAACACGAAAUUCAUUAAAGAUCCAAAUGAAGAUUAUAAAAAUGCUGACCCAACUAAAUAGAAAUGUUGAUGAGUGAUAUUUUAAAAUUAUCAAAACUUCUAAGGUAGGAUGAAGCAGUUCUCAUUGGAAAGUUCACAUUUAAGUUUUUGUAAUAUUAAAAAAAGAAUAAAAUUAAAAGAACUAAACCACCUAUGCAAAAACCAAGCAAUCUACAGGAGGGGAAAAAAUUGGUUUUGUUAAACAAACUGUAAAACUGAUAGGUAAAUCCUGGAACUGAUUCUUUGGAAAACGUAAAUAAAUACACACAUAUUUCUAGUUGCUCAAAAUAAGAAAAUAAAAUCAGAAAGUGAAAAUAUACCUGUGCAAAUGAAAAAUAUAGAAAUGACGCCAAAUGCAAAGAAGCUUCAAAAACAGAAAAACAUAUUUUCUAUAGCUCUGUGCCGAUUCCCUUGAAAAUCUUCAAGAAAUGGCAAACUCUUUUAAGAAAAUGUUCGUUAUGGAAACAAAAGCAAGAACAUCUCACUCAGAUAAAACAAAACUAUAGAAACUUUGGAAAAGUUACCCACAAUUUAUCACCACGAGGUGACAGACAUAACAGCCUUUUUAGAUCCACUCUUUCUUUUAUUUAUUUGUUUUUUGGCCACACCUGUAGCAUGUAGAAGUUCUUGGGCCAGGGAUCAAACAUGCACCACACCAGUGGCUUGAGCUGCUGCAGUGACAACGCCAGAUCCUUAACCUGCUGUGCCAGAAGGGAAUUCUGAAACACUCAUUUAAAUAAGGAAUAGAUUGUUUUUAUAAUGCAUGAAUCACUUUGGAGCAUAGAAAAUAUAGAGAGCUUACCAACACCAUUAUAAAACUGGUCUAAUCCU